rnacentral:rRNA from 1 species
UACGUAGGGUGCAAGCGUUGUCCGGAAUUAUUGGGCGUAAAGAGCUCGUAGGCGGUCUGUUGCGUCGGCUGUGAAAACCCGGGGCUCAACUCCGGGCCUGCAGCCGAUACGGGCAGACUAGAGUUCGGCAGGGGAGACUGGAAUUCCUGGUGUAGCGGUGAAAUGCGCAGAUAUCAGGAGGAACACCGGUGGCGAAGGCGGGUCUCUGGGCCGUAACUGACGCUGAGGCGCGAAAGCGUGGGGAGCAAACAGG